rnacentral:tRNA from 1 species
GGCAGCGUAGCUCAGCGGCAGAGCAGUCGGCUCAUAAUCGACAGGUCCCAGGUUCGAAUCCUGGCGCUGCUACCA